UGCUUCUUCCCAUUUUUAUUAGGAUCUCCUCAAAGUUGGUUACACACCCUCUUUCAAAUUAUUCUUUAUAACUCAGGUCUAUCACAUUGCCUGUACAACACUCACGAGUCACUGUGCAGCCGUGGAUUUUGCUGCCUGCUUCAAGCUUUGCAAUGCCUGUGUCCAGCACUAUGCACAAUGAGACCUAAUCCCCAGCUGGGGACCAUCUCUAGCAGUGCAGUACAAAUGAAAUAAAUUUCAACAUUUUUUGUUUUA